UAGGGAAUAUUGGGCAAUGGAGGCAACUCUGACCCAGCCAUGCCGCGUGAAGGAUGACGGCGCUCAGCGUUGUAAACUUCUUUUAUCAGGGAAGAACUAUGGGGGUGCGCCCUUAUUUGACGGUACCUGAGGAAUAAGCACCGGCUAACUCCGUGCCAGCAGCCGCGGUAAUACGGAGGGUGCAAGCGUUGUCCGGAUUUAUUGGGUUUAAAGGGUGCGCAGGUGGUUCUGUAAGUCUGAUUUGAAAGCUAGCGGCUCAACCGUUAGAUGUGGUUGGAAACUGUGGAACUUGAAUGGCGUAGCGGGAGCCGGAAUGGGUCAUGUAGCGGUGAAAUGCAUAGAUAUGACCCGGAACACCGAUUGCGAAGGCAGGCUCCUUGGCGUUGAUUGACACUGAGGCACGAGAGCAUGGGUAGCGAACA
rnacentral:rRNA from 1 species